CUGCCUAUCAGAGGGGAACAACAGUUAGAAAUGACUGCUAAUACCGCAUAUGCCUUAGAAUCACAUGGUUCAAAAGGGAAAGGAGCAAUCCGCUGAUAGAUGGGCUUGCGUCUGAUUAGCUAGUUGGUGGGGUAAUGGCCUACCAAGGCGACGAUCAGUAGCCGAACUGAGAGGUUGAACGGCCACAUUGGGACUGAGAUACGGCCCAGACUCCUACGGGAGGCAGCAGUCGGGGAUAUUGCGCAAUGGAGGAAACUCUGACGCAGUGACGCCGCGUGCAGGAAGAAGGUUUUCGGAUUGUAAACUGCUUUAGACAGGGAAGAACAAAGACAGUACCUGUAGAAUAAGCUCCGGCUAACUACGUGCCAGCAGCCGCGGUAAUACGUAGGGAGCGAGCGUUAUCCGGAUUUAUUGGGUGUAAAGGGUGCGUAGACGGGAAGUCAAGUUAGUUGUGAAAUCCCUCGGCUUAACUGAGGAACUGCAACUAAAACUGAUUUUCUUGAGUACUGGAGAGGAAAGUGGAAUUCCUAGUG
rnacentral:rRNA from 1 species